UGGGGAAUAUUGGACAAUGGGCGCAAGCCUGAUCCAGCCAUGCCGCGUGAGUGAUGAAGGCCCUAGGGUUGUAAAGCUCUUUCACCGGUGAAGAUAAUGACGGUAACCGGAGAAGAAGCCCCGGCUAACUUCGUGCCAGCAGCCGCGGUAAUACGAAGGGGGCUAGCGUUGUUCGGAUUUACUGGGCGUAAAGCGCACGUAGGCGGACUUUUAAGUCAGGGGUGAAAUCCCGGGGCUCAACCCCGGAACUGCCUUUGAUACUGGAAGUCUUGAGUAUAGUAGAGGUGAGUGGAAUUCCGAGUGUAGAGGUGAAAUUCGUAGAUAUUCGGAGGAACACCAGUGGCGAAGGCGGCUCACUGGACCAUUACUGACGCUGGGGUGCGAAAGCGUGGGGAGCAAACAGG
rnacentral:rRNA from 1 species